UACGUAGGCAGCGAGCGUUGUUCGGAAUUACUGGGCGUAAAGAGUGUGUAGGCGGUUCUCUAAGUUCGGCGUGAAAUCUCCUGGCUUAACUGGGAGGGUGCGCCGGAAACUGGAGUGCUUGAGCGUGGGAGAGGAAAGCGGAAUUCCUGGUGUAGCGGUGAAAUGCGUAGAUAUCAGGAGGAACACCUGUGGUGUAGACGGCUUUCUGGACCAUUGCUGACGCUGAGACACGAAAGCGUGGGUAGCAAACAGG
rnacentral:rRNA from 1 species